rnacentral:lncRNA from 1 species
GAGGAACUGGACAUUGAACAGUGGCUCCAGCAAAUGCAGGUGUGUUGAUGUGUAAAAGCCACGUCUUCACUGACUGUAGAAAACGCUCCCCCCCCCACACACACACUGCUCUUUCUCAUCUCUUUGUGGAGCCAUCUCAAGUACUUAGAGGAGAAUGUCCAAGCCUGACAUUGCAGGGCCAGCACCUCUCUGGUAGAAAUCAAAUACUUGUGGCUGCCAUUUCUUGACCAAAAUAGAGCCAACAACAAAAAAGAACAAUACCGCAAAACUACCCUGGGAACUACACAACACUUUUAUUGUAUUUCUCUUUCACCCAUUUCCGAAUUUAGGUUUAUGUCUAACAGAUUCAAGUGUGCUGCCUAUCAUUUGUCAACCCAAAAUGCCAGUUUAUAUGUCUCAGUGUCACUUCUUCUUACCACUACGAUAAAUCUUUGGACAAUUAAAAACCUCCCAGAAUCCUGCAGGGAGUCUGGGGCCCUGGACUGCACGCUGUGGAAAGAAACCAGAGGACUUGUGAUACUGUCAUUCCUGCCACUGCAAACAGGGCAGCGCUCUCUGCUCUUUGGAUUAUCCUCUGACUUCUCCGCUUCUGUUGCCAGUUGGUUUUUCUGGGGGUUAAUAACUGAGGAGAAUAAAAGUUAAGCGGAGCAUUAUAUGAUUCUAGUAAAUAUGUAGGUUGAUGCCCGUCUACCUGCUCUGGUCAUCUUAGGAUCCAUAAAAGCCCUAUGUUCUCUUAUUUUUGGAGUAUUCCCAUCCCUCACCAUAUCAAAUAGUAAAAUAUACAAAUAUAGUUUAGAUACAAUACACUUAUGGAAAAUUUUAAAGUUUUUAUAGUUUUGCUUCUGGAAUUCUGCCUUGAUGCUUUUGUAUAUUGAG